rnacentral:lncRNA from 1 species
GUAAACUUUGUGUUGUUGCUUUGAGACAAGGGUUCACGUAGCCCAGGCUGGCCUUGAACUCCCUAUAUAGCUGGGGAUAAACUUGAACUUGUGAUCGUCUUGCCUCCACCUCUCAUGAUUACAAACAAGAUUGUGCCACUAUGCCUGGAGUUUCAGGUAAAUUCAGUAACAAUUUCAUUCUUGGUUAAAAAUAUUACACAUAACUAAAACUCCCUACUCACUAAAAACAUGGGUGGUGGUUUAAGCCAUCCUUGAAGAAAACAAAACUAACAAAAAGUAAAAAGUAAAAAAAAAAAAAAAAAAAAAAAAAACCUAAAAUUAACCCUAAAUGUUUCUGUCCGCUUUGUGAGGACACAGGAGAUAACAAAGCCUGAGAGGAGCACCAACACACACAGACUUUUAAAUUGCAUCGACACUCAUUUCUGAUGUCAUAGAGAUCUGUUCUAGCUAAAAUGGCAGCAAUGACAAUGAGGUAGAUAUGAGAGAGGCAAUUUCAAUUUUCCAAGACUGUUCUUAGGUGGAAUUUUAAUUAGUUCAAGUGUUUCAUCUGAAAAUGAUUUUUACUGGUUCAAACCUCAUCAUAUAAGAAUUUCAUGACAUACUCUUGUGAACAGGGGAAAUAUAUGAAGUACUAAAAAUAGCAAGCUUUUAAAAAAAAAAAAGUACAUCAUCAACGAGAAACCCAUAACUAUGCAUAAAAUGUCCCCUGGAGUCCUACAAGCCGAGCAGAUACAUUAAAAGACAGUGACUGUCACAAAUCAGGAUUUUCUCUCUCUCUCUCUCACACACACACACACACACACACACACACACACACACACACACACACACACACACACACACACACGCUCGUGCUCUCUCUUCCCCCUCCCACCCCUGACACAGAGUCAAUCUUCACCCUCGCUGUAAGGCUGCGUUUGUAGGUUUUUUUUUUUUUUUUUUAAAGGCACCUCUCACUUUCUAGCUAUUGCCUUCUUGAUGACACAUUUUGUCAAAGAGCUUGAAUGUUCAAUGGAAAUAGUUCAGCAGGAAUCUUUUCAAUUCACAUUUGAAUAGCCAGGUUUUCUUACAUUCAGAUUUUAAUAAACUAGAAUGACAGUCUUUAAAACAAGCAUGCUAGCCUAUAAUGAAUAUAGUAUAUACAGUAAUUUAAACACUUAGAGCUAUAUAUUAUACUGCAAAAGCAAACAGCACAACACUCGUCA